rnacentral:rRNA from 1 species
GGGGAUAACGUUUGGAAACGAACGCUAAUACCGCAUAAGACCACACUUCCACAUGGGAGAGGGGUCAAAGGAGCAAUCCGCUGAAAGAUGGGCUCGCGUCCGAUUAGAUAGUUGGGGGGGUAACGGCCCACCAAGUCGACGAUCGGUAGCCGGACUGAGAGGUUGAACGGCCACAUUGGGACUGAGACACGGCCCAGACUCCUACGGGAGGCAGCAGUGAGGGAUAUUGGUCAAUGGGGGAAACCCUGAACCAGCAACGCCGCGUGAGGGAAGACGGUUUUCGGAUUGUAAACCUCUGUCCUCUGUGAAGAUAAUGACGGUAGCAGAGGAGGAAGCUCCGGCUAACUACGUGCCAGCAGCCGCGGUAAUACGUAGGGAGCGAGCGUUGUCCGGAUUUACUGGGUGUAAAGGGUGCGUAGGCGGGUAAGCAAGUCAGAAGUGAAAUCCAUGGGCUUAACCCAUGAACUGCUUUUGAAACUGUUUAUCUUGAGUGAAGUAGAGGUAGGCGGAAUUCCCGGUGUAGCGGUGAAAUGCGUAGAGAUCGGGAGGAACACCAGUGGCGAAGGCGGCCUACUGGGCUUUAACUGACGCUGAAGCACGAAAGCGUGGGUAGCAAACAGGAUUAGAUACCCU